CCUACGGUGGGCAGCAGUGGGGAAUAUUGCACAAUGGGGGAAACCCUGAUGCAGCGACGCCGCGUGAGUGAAGAAGUAUUUCGGUAUGUAAAGCUCUAUCAGCAGGGAAGAAAUAGCGACCUUUGGGUCGCCAGACGGUACCUGAUUAAGAAGCCCCGGCUAACUACGUGCCAGCAGCCGCGGUAAUACGUAGGGGGCAAGCGUUAUCCGGAUUUAUUGGGUUUAAAGGGUGCGCAGGCGGCCGUUUAAGUCAGCGGUAAAAGCCCGGGGCUCAACCCCGGCGAGCCGUUGACACUGGCGGGCUGGAGGUGGAGAGAAGUACGCGGAAUGCGCGGUGUAGCGGUGAAAUGCUUAGAUAUCGCGCAGAACCCCGAUUGCGAAGGCAGCGUACCGGCUCCACACUGACGCUGAGGCACGAAAGCGUGGGUAUCGAACAGGAUUAGAUACCCCAGUAGUC
rnacentral:rRNA from 1 species